UCGGGAAUUUUGGGCAAUGGGCGAAAGCCUGACCCAGCAACGCCGCGUGAAGGAUGAAGUCUCUCGGGAUGUAAACUUCGUAAGAAUAGGAAGAAUAAAUGACGGUACUAUUUGUAAGGUCCGGCUAACUACGUGCCAGCAGCCGCGGUAAUACGUAGGGACCAAGCGUUGUUCGGAUUUACUGGGCGUAAAGGGCGCGUAGGCGGCGUGGUAAGUCACUUGUGAAAUCUCCGAGCUUAACUCGGAACGGUCAAGUGAUACUGCUGUGCUAGAGUACAGAAGGGGCAAUCGGAAUUCUUGGUGUAGCGGUGAAAUGCGUAGAUAUCAAGAGGAACACCUGAGGUGAAGACGGGUUGCUGGGCUGAUACUGACGCUGAGGCGCGAAAGCUAGGGUAGCAAACGGGAUUAGAUACCCGUGUAGUCCCUGAGCGGGCUGGCAAGGCGCAU
rnacentral:rRNA from 1 species